rnacentral:tRNA from 1 species
GCGUCGGUGGUUCAGUGGUAGAAUACUCGCCUGCCAUGCGGGUGACCCGGGUUCAAUUCCCGACCGACGCA